CCAUCGCUUACCAUGUUCAACUUAUUCGUUCUUCAAUACUCUGGCCUGAGUUCCUGACUCCGCCGCUCUGGAAAUCGCCUUUGGUGGAGGUGGAGGUUCAAACCACACACAUUAUACACCAAUAUCUCCGUCUCACUCUCCUCUUCUAAUAUUCAACCAUGAUUUUUGCUAAUUCCAACAUUAACCCCCAAAUCGAGUCCAAAACAACUAGAACCCUAACUUUCUAUUUCCAAAAUUAAACGAGAAAAAAGAGGAACCAUAGCCCAAUGAGUGAGGGUGUUUCUUCAUCAUGCAUCUUACUACAUGAUGGCAAUUGAAUUUGAGCAAAAAUAUAAGACAAAAUAGGAUUUCUUACCUACAAGGAGGAUCUGUUCCUUGGUAAGUGUUGAAUUCAAAGGUGAAGACGAAGGAGGGGCGCAAAUCCUCAGAUUUAUUGUUAAUGUGAUAGAAAUGAACUUGACUUGGCUUGAAAUCAAUAUUGUCAUGGCAUCAUGGUUUAUGAAGGUUCGAUCAAGGCAUGAACCAAGGUUCCUUCAUGAAGAAAUUUUGGGCACAAUAAUGGAAUAUUUGUGGGAAUGAAUACCAAAGUAGACUUAGGAAUCAAUUUGACUUUGGUCAAAUGUAGGUUUUUGUUAUAUAAUUUUGAUUUUGGCUCUCUUUGUAAUGAAAUGGAUAUUUGUAAUGAUAAUGGCCUUUGGAAAACGAAUUGUGAAUUUUGUGAAGGAGAAUAGCGAUUCAAAAUGCAGCGGAAAUUAAAAUUUUCUCCUUUA